UUUAAUACUCUCUCUCUCUCUCUCUCUCUCUCUCUCUCUCUCUCCUCUCGCAGCUUCUCUCUCCAGCAGAAUCAAAGCACUAAAUUAAAAAUUUGAAAAAACUUCAAAUACCCAUUUGUACGUGGUUUCACUUUUUCUCACUUUAGCAUCAUGUGCUUUAAAGUGUAUCAAGUUAGUACCUUGUGAUUUUGCAUUUUUUCACUUUAGUAUCCUGUGGUUUAAAGUGAAUCAAGUUAGUACCCUACGGUUUUACACUUUUUCACUUUAGUAUCCUGUGGUUUAAAGUGUAUCAAGUUAGUAUCCUGUGGUUUCACACUUUAUCACUUUAGUACCUCGUGGUUUAAAAAUCACAGGGUACUAACUUGAUACAAAAAUAAAAUUACAGGAUACUAACUUAAUACAAAAAUAAAACCGCAGGAUACUAACUUGAUGUACUUUAAACCACAUGCUACAAAAGUGAUAAAGUGAGAAACCACAGGGUACUAACUUGAUACACUUUAAACUACAUGGUACUAAAAUAAAAAAGUGCAAAACCACAAGGGGGGGUUUUUGAAGUUUUCCCUAAAAAUUUUAUAUAUUUUUUCAACCAAGAAUCUUUUUCUUCUGCUCUAUCUCUCUGUCUUCUAGAUACUGCUCUUUUCAGCACUAUCAAAUCAAGGAUUUAAAUGUCGUGGCAUGGAGUCGUGCCGGAAACUUGCCGACACGAUACGGCACGGUGCGUGCCGAGCCUUGCCGAUGCAUGCCGAUUAAAAAAAUUCUUGUGUACCGACACAUAAUAGUAUGAAAUAUUUAUUUUCUUUAGCAACAAAAUAUCCUAACUAUUUAUUAUGCCUUUUCAUCACAUCUUUUGAAUUUUAUUGAGGAAAUUACUUACUAAUUUAAAGAAUAGAGGGUUUUGAGCUGUGCCAUCGGUACGGGGUCUGUAUCGUGCCGGUAUCUUAUUGACACGGUACGGUACAGUGGAUACGGCCUGUGCCGACGGACACUUAAAACCUUGGAUCAGAUACACUAAAUUAAAAGUUCUAUAUAAGAAUUUCAUCUUCGCUUCUUGUUAUGUAUGCUAAGACUGUAACACUCAAAUAAUUUUAUAUUGGAUAAAAAAAUAAUUCUGAUUAGAAUAUAUGAGACUUCACACGCUAAUAAUAGUAACUGGACUUAAACAUUUUAGGCCGGUGGUUUGAGGCCCAACGAGUUAUUAUUGCUAGCGGAUCGGGUCAUUACAAAGACUCAAUUUG
rnacentral:lncRNA from 1 species